AACGAACGCUGGCGGCAUGCCUAACACAUGCAAGUCGAACGAGACCUUCGGGUCUAGUGGCGCACGGGUGCGUAACGCAUGGGAACCUGCCCUUAGGUUCGGAAUAACUCCCCGAAAGGGGUGCUAAUACCGGAUAAUGUCUUCGGACCAAAGAUUUAUCGCCUUUGGAUGGGCCCGCGUUGCAUUAGCUAGUUGGUAGGGUAAAAGCCUACCAAGGCGACGAUCCAUAGCUGGUCUGAGAGGAUGAUCAGCCACACUGGGACUGAGACACGGCCCAGACUCCUACGGGAGGCAGCAGUGGGGAAUAUUGGACAAUGGGCGAAAGCCUGAUCCAGCAAUGCCGCGUGAGUGAUGAAGGCCUUAGGGUUGUAAAGCUCUUUUACCCGGGAUGAUAAUGACAGUACCGGGAGAAUAAGCUCCGGCUAACUCCGUG
rnacentral:rRNA from 1 species